AUAUAUAUAUAUACAUAUAUAUAUAUGUAUGUAUAUGAUGGUUGUCUACUCCUUGUGCAGAGUUUGACCACCUCUUGUAUCUAUACCUUAGAACAAUCAUGGCAUCUGAUGUGGCUUGUUAAACCAGACAGUGUUUUGAAAAGAUACCCACAU